UGCCUUGAUGGUGAAAUGGUAGACACGCGAGACUCAAAAUCUCGUGCUAUAAAGCGUGGAGGUUCGAGUCCUCUUCAAGGCAU
rnacentral:tRNA from 1 species